AUUGAACGCUGGCGGCCGGCCUAACACAUGCAAGUCGAACGAGUGGCGGACGGGUGAGUAAUGUCUGGGAAACUGCCUGAUGGAGGGGGAUAACUACUGGAAACGGUAGCUCAUACCGCAUACCCUCAGAUGUGCCCAGAUGGGAUUAGCUAGUAGGUGGGGUAACGGCUCACCUAGGCGACGAUCCCUAGCUGGUCUUAGAGGAGGACCCGCCAAACUGGAACUGAGACACGGUCCAGAUUCCUACGGGAGGCAGCAGUGGGGAAUAUUGCACAAUGGGCGCAAGCCUGAUGCAGCCAUGCCGCGUGUAUGAAGAAGACCUUCGGGUUGUAAAGUACUUUCAGCGGGGAGGCGUUACCCGCAGAAGAAGCACCGGCUAACUCCGUGCCAGCAGCCGCGGUAAUAC
rnacentral:rRNA from 1 species